GGGCGGUUAGCUCAGCGGUUAGAGCGCCUGUCUUACACACAGGAGGUCACUGGUUCAAAUCCAGUACUGCCCACCA
rnacentral:tRNA from 1 species